GAUGUGUUGGAGAGAAAUCUUAUAUUCUUGAAUGAUGGUGGUAGUUUCAAUUACAUGGCAAUUUGCUUUAUUGUGAGUUAAAGCCCUCUUAAUUUCCAGAGGGCAGUGCUUUAUGCUGCAAAAAUGUAUAUAAUUCUUUGUCAGUAUUGUAUGCUUUAUCUUUGAUGUUUAAUUAAAAGUUUCUCUUUCCCUUCCUUGUAUAAGGAAAGAAAAUUUUUGUUUGUUCUUUUUUGUUUAUUUUUUGUCAGAAUAGUUGAUGGUAAACUUUGCAAUUACAGAUGAUAGUGAAAAAAAACCCCAGCGACGCAAUCGUAGCCGCAGGCGUCGUUUCAGGGGUCAGGCAGAAGAUAGACAGCCAGGUAACUUGAGUGGGCCUGUUGGUGUCAGGUCACAAGCAUGAAAAAUGUCAUGUGUCUGCAUUCUAAAUAUAGCUACAUGUUCACAUGUGUGUAUACUUUGAGAAUUUGCAUUGCCUAAUUUAUUCAACUAAUAAUGCUGCUCAAGAAAAUGCAUUCUUCCUUCACAGUAUAAAUGUUUAGUAUCUAGUCUUAAGUGAACUAAUGUUGUGUCUUAAUUUCUUAUAUGGAAAUAAUUUCAAUACCUUUACUGUAUUCAGUUGGCAGAUUCUUCACAUUUAAGAUGGGGACUGCCAUUGCAGGGACUAUGGUGUGAAUUUGUUGAGGCUGAUUGGCAAAGCUGGGCAAUUUAACAUGGUGCCUGCUUACUAUAUACAUCGGGUGUCUCAUUUGGUGGGAAUUAGAAUACUCAAAAAUUUAAAAUUGUAGAAGUGUCUUUUUCUUUAAAAAAGGAUGCAUGUUAAUGUUUGUGUUACUGUAGUGUGGUGCUUUUUCUUUGACACAUACUAACCAUUCAAAUGGUAUUUACUUAGUUCCAUUCAGUAUUUUAUGUUGUCUUAAGUUUUGGUAACUGGAAAAAAGCUCGUCUGCUAUGUCUCUUAUUUUGAACACAAUUCACUUCUGAUGUACAGAGAAUCACUGUAUAUUCACCAUGAAGAAACUGUGUACAGUAGAAAUAAACCCCUUUCAAACCAACCAA
rnacentral:lncRNA from 1 species